ACGCAAACCGGAAGGCCACGCACUUCCGACCCCACCCGAGUCCCACGGGACCUGCUGUUGCUAUGGCAACACGAGUUGGCUCCGAGGAGACCCAGGACCUGCUCGCUCAGGAAGGUGAUGGAAACUAGAACGACGGGUUAGUUAUGUCAAGAGGCCUCGAAAGGAUGGGAGCCCUCUGUGGCCAAAGGCGAAGUCCGGCCAUUAUCCAUAAUGGGGCCUGAAGGAGCUUAAACACUGCAAGACAGUCCGCACCAUAUUCAGCACAGGACCGGGAACAAAUGCUAGUUUCCGUCCAUUCCUUACACCCAGUGACUCCCAGAAACUGUUAACUCCAUAACCAUUUCAAUCACUCAACCUCUCCACGACUGGGAAUUCGGAAAUGAACACCAGGCAGUUCCCGCGAAGGUGGUUAAGGGUCUGAACGGGAAAAAUCAAGCACCUACAAGGAGAGUCAGACAUCCUACAACGGAUAGAGUAGGUUGGGAUGUAAAGGUGGGAGAGCACAAGAACCACCCCCAUUAAGAGCCUUCCCAUUUCUCCUGCGAAGGCUCUACUGGAGUUCCUGCACUCUGAGGCCGGAGUGGUACAUGGCUUACAAGCAUGGCGUCUGGGGCACUCUUAGAAUCCAGUUGUCAUGCUGUGAGGAAGCCCACACCUUGCCCAUGAAAAAAAAAAAACCACAUGGAGAAGCCACUUGCUCAGCUGAGGCCCCAGACAUGGAACCAAGGGAUCUACCUUCCCCACUGUGCCUUGUUUGAAUUCCUGACCCUCAGAAUCCUGAGCAUAAUAAAAUGACUUCUUUACAUCACUAAAUUGGGGGGUGGUUUAUUAUGCAGCAAUGGCAACUGAAACAACCACACAUAGUUUACGUCUAACAAGGAAUAAAGAUACUAAAUAGGUGACUCCAAGGUACUGCCUACACCUAACAGUAACUGGAACACAAUACAUUUUUUGUUGAGUGUCCAAGGUACUUAUUAUUAUGCCCAUUUUGCAGAUGAGGAACUGAGCUUUGGGAGGUUUAGCAACUUGUCCUAAGUCUCUCAGCUGGUCAACAGCAGA